AUUUUUUUACUGAUUCUUUACUUUAUUUAUUUUUUGAUAUUAGUUUUGAAGUUAGUAGUUUUUAUGUGUAAUACACGUCUAGAAUAAAGGUACUCGAUGACAAGACUGACGCUAAUCUUCUGCGAGCUUCCUUUAACUACAACGAACCGUUGUGCUGAGAGAUGUCAAAAACCUGGUUUUAUUGAAAUGAGAUAUUAUGUAAAGAAGUUUUUAAAGAAGCCGUUUUAACAACAAUGGAAAAGGUUCUAAUUUACGAAAUAACCGUGAAAGCAUUGAAUACACGAUAUGUAUAGAUAUGUAUAGAAUCGUUUAAAAAUUUGCUUAACUUCGACAGUGUAAUUUUAUUUAUUUUGUUUGAAAUAAACCAA